GCGCAGCAGGCGAGAAACCUUCGCAAUGCGGGAAACCGCGACGAGGGGACUCCCAGUGCCUACGCUCAGCGUAGGCUGUUCCCGAGCCUAGAAAGCUCGGGGAGUAAGGGCUGGGUAAGACGGGUGCCAGCCGCCGCGGUAAUACCCGCAGCCCGAGUGGUGGCCACUAUUAUUGGGCCUAAAGCGUCCGUAGCCGGCCCGGUAAAUGCCUGGGUAAAUCGUGAGGCCUAACCUCACGAAUUCCGGGUAGACUGCCGGGCUAGGGACCGGAGGAGGGAGAGGGUACUCCAGGGGUAGGGGUGAAAUCCUGUAAUCCCUGGAGGACCACCGGUGGCGAAGGCGCUCUCCUAGGACGGGUCCGACGGUGAGGGACGAAAAGCCAGGGGGAGCGAACCGGAUUAGAUACCCCGGUAGU
rnacentral:rRNA from 1 species